rnacentral:rRNA from 1 species
GACGAACGCUGGCGGCGUGCUUAACACAUGCAAGUCGAACGGAAAGGCCCUGCUUUUGUGGGGUGCUCGAGUGGCGAACGGGUGAGUAACACGUGAGUAACCUGCCCUUGACUUUGGGAUAACUUCAGGAAACUGGGGCUAAUACCGGAUAGGAGCUCCUGCUGCAUGGUGGGGGUUGGAAAGUUUCGGCGGUUGGGGAUGGACUCGCGGCUUAUCAGCUUGUUGGUGGGGUAGUGGCUUACCAAGGCUUUGACGGGUAGCCGGCCUGAGAGGGUGACCGGCCACAGGGGCACGGGGACACGGUCACGAGGACUAGGGGAGGCAGCAGUGGGGAACAGAGGACACUGGGCGGAAGGAGGAGAGAGCGACACCGGGUGGGCGAAGAAGGCCGCCGGGGGGGAAAGGGGGGUGGGGGGGAAAGAAAAGCAGCAGGUUAAGACCCAGCUGCUAGGACGGUACCCAAAGAAGAAGCACCGGCUAACUUCGUG